UCUUUCAAUUUUCACCGCAUCCCCUCUUCCAAUUUUCUUCAUCCUUCAAAUCCCCCCCUUCAAUUUCACCGCCGAUUGCCAAUCACCGGCGACCGGGCCGUCCCCACCGCCACCCGCAUUCGCCUCCGCUGGCUUCCACGUAUCCCUGCCUUAGAAAGCCAUCACAGAAGCUCUGCCUCCGCCGGAAACUACGUCGUCUGCCUUCGCCGCUCUGCUGUGCUUCCGGAAACGACGUCGCAAAGCCUCCGCCGCUCCAAAUCCGUUGUGGCUAUACACCAUUGCUGGAGA
rnacentral:lncRNA from 1 species